rnacentral:rRNA from 1 species
AUUGAACGCUGGCGGCAUGCCUUACACAUGCAAGUCGAACGGCAGCACGGGUGCUUGCACCUGGUGGCGAGUGGCGAACGGGUGAGUAUUACAUCGGAACGUACCUUAUCGUGGGGGAUAACGCAGCGAAAGCUGUGCUAAUACCGCAUACGCCCUGAGGGGGAAAGCGGGGGAUCGCAAGACCUCGCGCGAUUAGAGCGGCCGAUGCCUGAUUAGCUUGUUGGUGGGGUAAAAGCCCACCAAGGCGACGAUCAGUAGCUGGUCUGAGAGGACGAUCAGCCACACUGGGACUGAGACACGGCCCAGACUCCUACGGGAGGCAGCAGUGGGGAAUUUUGGACAAUGGGGGCAACCCUGAUCCAGCAAUGCCGCGUGAGUGAAGAAGGCCUUCGGGUUGUAAAGCUCUUUUGUCAGGGAAGAAACACCGGCUCUAACACAGUCCGGGAACGACGGUACCUGAAGAAUAAGCACCGGCUAACUACGUGCCAGCCGCCGCCGUAA